GAUGAACGCUAGCGGCAGGCUUAAUACAUGCAAGUCGAGGGGCAGCACGGUUCGCAGCAAUGCGGGAUGGUGGCGACCGGCAAACGGGUGAGGAUCGCGUACACAAUCUUCCCAGAGCAGGGGGAUAACCCGGGGAAACCCGGCCUAAUACCCCGUAGUUUACUUUGAAGGCAUCUUUGAGGUAAUAACACUCCGGUGGCUUUGGAUGAGUGUGCGUCCCAUUAGGUAGUUGGCAGGGUAACGGCCUACCAAGCCUUCGAUGGGUAACUGGUAUGAGAGCACGACCAGUCAAACGGGAAAUGAGACCCGGACCCGACUCCUACGGGAGGCAGCAGUAAGGAAUAUUGGUCAAUGGACGCAAGUCUGAACCAGCCAUGCCGCGUGAAGGAUGAAUGUCCUCUGGAUUGUAAACUUCUUUUAUAGAAGGCGAAAAAAGGGUUUUUUAGCUCACUUGACGGUACCUUAUGAAUAAGCACCGGCUAACUCCGUG
rnacentral:rRNA from 1 species